rnacentral:rRNA from 1 species
AGAGUUUGAUCCUGGCUCAGAACGAACGCUGGCGGCAGGCUUAACACAUGCAAGUCAAGCGCCCCGCAAGGGGAGCGGCAGACGGGUGAGUAACGCUGGGAACGUGCCCUUUGGUUCGGAACAACUCCGGGAAACUGGAGCUAAUACCGGAUAAGCCCUUCGGGGGAAAGAUUUAUCGCCAAAGGAUCGGCCCGCGUCUGAUUAGCUAGUUGGUGAGGUAAUGGCUCACCAAGGCGACGAUCAGUAGCUGGUCUGAGAGGAUGAUCAGCCACACUGGGACUGAGACACGGCCCAGACUCCUACGGGAGGCAGCAGUGGGGAAUAUUGGACAAUGGGCGCAAGCCUGAUCCAGCCAUGCCGCGUGAGUGAUGAAGGCCUUAGGGUUGUAAAGCUCUUUUGUCCGGGAAGAUAAUGACUGUACCGGAAGAAUAAGCCCCGGCUAACUUCGUG